GACGAACGCUGGCGGCGUGCUUAACACAUGCAAGUCGAACGAAAAGGCCCUGCUUUUGUUGGGUGCUCGUGUGGCGAACGGGUGAGUAACACGCGAGUAACCUGCCCUUGACUUUGGGAUAACUUCAGGAAACUGGGGCUAAUACCGGAUAGAAGCUCCUGCUGCAUGGUGUGGGUUGGAAAGUUUCGGCGGUUGGGGAUGGUCUCGCGGCAUAUCAGCUUGUUGGUGGGGUAGUGGCUUACCAAGGCUUUGACGGGUAGCCGGCCUGAGAGGGUGACCGGCCACAUGGGGACUGAGAUACGGCCCAGACGCCUACGGGAGGCAGCAGUGGGGAAUAUGGCGCAAUGGGCGGAAGCCUGAUGCAGCAACGCCGCGUGCGGGAUGACGGCCUACGGGUUGUAAACCGCUUUCGCCUGUGACGAAGAGGGAGUGACGGUAAUGGGUAAGGAAGCAACGGCUAACUACGUG
rnacentral:rRNA from 1 species